UGUUCUGUGGCUUAGUUAGUUAAAGUGCCGGUGUAGCGAACACGAAUUCGUGGGUUCGAAUCCCUCCAGAAUGC
rnacentral:tRNA from 1 species